rnacentral:rRNA from 1 species
GUGCCAGCAGCCGCGGUAAUACAGAGGGUGCAAGCGUUGCUCGGAAUCAUUGGGCGUAAAGGGCAGGUAGGUUGUCUCAUUUGUCUGGGGUGAAAUCCCUGAGCUUAACUCAGGAACUGCCCCGGAAACGGUGAGACUGGAGUACUGGAGAGGGUCGUGGAAUUCCCGGUGUAGCGGUGAAAUGCGUAGAGAUCGGGAGGAACACCAGAGGCGAAGGCGGCGACCUGGACAGUAACUGACACUCAACUGCGAAAGCGUGGGGAGCAAACAGGAUUAGAUACCCUGGUAGUCCACGCUGUAAACGAUGGGUACUAGAUUUGGCGGGAUUUGACCCCUGCUGAAUCGGCGCUAACGCAAUAAGUACCCCGCCUGGGAAGUACGGUCGCAAGACUAAAACUCAAAGGAAUUGACGG